ACUCAAAUGAAUUGACGGGGGCUCACACAAGCGGUGGAGCAUGUGGUUCAAUUCGAAGCAACGCGCAAAACCUUACCUGGGCUUGACAUGCAUGGAUUAGCCCCUGGAAACAGGGGUGACACUCGAAAGGGUGGAACGUGCACAGGUGCUGCAUGGCUGUCGUCAGCUCGUGUCGUGAGAUGUCGGGUUAAGUCCCUUAACGAGCGAAACCCUUGCCGUUAGUUGCCAACGGGUAAUGCCGGGGACUCUAGCGGGACUGCCGUGGUUAACACGGAGGAAGGUGGGGAUGACGUCAAGUCCUCAUGGCCUUUAUGUCCAGGGCAACACACGUGCUACAAUGGUCGGUACAAAGCGACGCGAAGCCGCAAGGCGGAGCAAACCGCAUAAAGCCGUCCUCAGUACAGAUUGUGGGCUGCAAUUCGCCCGCAUGAAGUUGGAAUCGCUAGUAAUCGCAUAUCAGCAGGGAUGCGGUGAAUAUGUUCCUGAGCCUUGUACACACCGCCCGU
rnacentral:rRNA from 1 species